CACCUGCAUUGCAGUGCUCUGGGUGCAGAGUGUUCAGGGUGUGAUGCACGGGUUGCAAUGCGCUUGCGUUGCGAUGCAUGGGGUGCAAAUCUCCAGAGCAAUCCAUUCCCAUUGCAAUGCACAGCAAUGACACAGGGGGUCCACUACACCUGCACUGUAGUGCUCUGGGUGCAAAGUGUUCAGGGUGUGAUGCAUGGGUUGCAAUGCGCUUGCGUUGCCAUGCACGGGGUGCAAAUCUCCAGAGCAAUCCAUUCCCAUUGCAAUGCACAGCAAUGACACAGGGGGUCCACUACACCUGCACUGUAGUGCUCUGGGUGCAAAGUGUUCAGGGUGUGAUGCAUGAGUUGCAAUGCGCUUGCGUUGCGAUGCACGGGGUGCAAAUCUCCAACACAGUCCAUUCCCAUUACAAUGCACAGCAGCAGUGCAGGGGUGUAAACUGCACUCAUUGCAGUCCUCUGGGUGGAAGGUACUCAGGCUCUGAUACAUGGGUUGCAAUGGGCUUGUGUUGUGAUGCACGGGAUGCAAAUGUUGGAGGCAACACGUGCAUGGAGCAAUGUGCAGGAGGAGUGCAGGAGGUGCUAAGUGCACUCGUUGCAAUCCUCUGGGUGUAAGGUGUUCCAGGUGCAAUGCACAUGUUGCAAUGCGCUUGCAUUCUGAUGCCCGGGCUGCAAAUCUCCAACACCAUCCAUUCCCAUUGCAAUACACAGCAGCAGUGCAGGAGCUGCAAAGUGGCUGCGUUGCAACCAUCGAGGUGUGCGGUGCUCACGUUGCAAUGCACGUGUUGCAACGAGGUUGCAUUCCUAUGCACGGGCUGCAAAUCCCAGUAUGACCCCAUUGCCCCCCCAUUCUAAUCCCAGUUUAAUCCCAGUAUAACCCCAUUAUAACCCCAUUACAAUCCCAUUGCCGCCUCAUUCUAAUCCCAGUAUAACCCCAUUAUACUCCCAGUAUGAUCCCAAUAGAACCCCAUUCUAAUCCCAGUAUAACCCCAUUGCCCCCAUUGGAAUCCCAUUACCACCCCAUUCUAAUCCCAGUAUGAUCCCAGUACAACCCCAUUAUAACCCCAUUAUAAUCCCAUUGCCCCCCAUUCUAACCCCAUUAGAACCCCAUUCUAAUCCCAGUUUAACCCCAUUGCCCCCAUUGUAAUCCCAUUCUCACCCCAUUCUAAUCCCAGUUUAAUCCCAGUAUAACCCCACUAUAACCCCAGUAUAACCCCAUUCUAAUCCCAGUAUAACCCCAUUAUAACCCCAUUAUAAUCCCAUUGCCGCCUCAUUCUAAUCCCAGUAUAACCCCAUUAUACUCCCAGUAUGAUCCCAAUAUAACCCCAUUAUAAUCCCAGUAUAACCCCAUUGCCCCCAUUGGAAUCCCAUUCUCACCCCAUUCUAAUCCCAGUAUGAUCCCAGUACAACCCCAUUAUAACCCCAUUAUAAUCCCAUUAUAAUCCCAUUGCCCCCCAUUCUAAUCCCAUUAGAACCCCAUUCUAAUCCCAGUAUAACCCCAUUGCCCCCACUGUAAUCCCAUUCUCACCCCAUUCUAAUCCCAGUUUAAUCCCAGUAUAACCCCAUUAUAACCCCAUUCUCACCCCAUUCUAAUCCCAGUAUAAUCCCAUUAUAACCCCAUUCUAAUCCCAUUACCCCCUCAUUCUAAUCCCAUUAUAACCCCAUUAUAAUCCCAUUCUAAUCCCAUUCUAAUCCCAAUAUAACCCCAUUCUAAUCCCAGUAUGAUCCCAUUAUAACCCCAUUAUAAUCCCAUUGCCCCCCAUUCUAAUCCCAGUAUAACCCCAUUCUAAUCCCAGUAUGAUCCCAAUGGAACCCCAUUAUAACCCCAUUAUAAUCCCAUUGCCCCCCCAUCUAAUCCCAAUAGAACCCCAUUCUAAUCCCAGUAUAACCCCAUUGCCCCCCCAUUAUAAUCCCAGUGUAACCCCAUUCUAACCCCAGUAUGAUCCCAGUAUAACCCCAUUCUAAUCCCCGUAUAGCCCCAUUGCCCCCCAUUAUAAUCCCAUUAUAACCCCAUUAUAACCCCAGUAUAACCCCAGUAUAACCCCAUUCUAAUCCCAUUGGCCCCCCAUUCUAAUCCCAGUAUAACCCCAUUCUAAUCCCAGUAUGAUCCCAAUGGAACCCCAUUAUAACGCCAUUCUAACCCCAUUGGCCUCUCAUUCUAAUCCCAAUAGAACCCCAUUUUAAUCCCAGUAUGAUCCCAGUAUAAUCCCAUUAUAAUCCCAGUACAACCCCAUUGCCCCCCAUUAUAAUCCCAUCAUAACCCCACUAUAAUCCCAUUGCCCCCCCAUUCUAAUCCCAGCAUAACCCCAUUCUAAUCCUAUUAUCAUCCCAGUAUAGCCCCUUUAUAAUCCCA
ensembl:lncRNA